rnacentral:rRNA from 1 species
UGAGGUGGAGCAAAACUCAAAAACUUAGUCUCAGUUCGGAUUGUAGGCUGCAACUCGCCUACACGAAGCUGGAAUCGCUAGUAAUCGCGGAUCAGCACGCCGCGGUGAAUACGUUCCCGGGCCUUGUACACACCGCCCGUCACACCAUGAGAGUCUGUAACACCCAAAGCCGGUGGGAUAACCUUUAUAGGAGUCAGCCGUCUAAGGUAGGACAGAUGAUUAGGGUGAAGUCGUAACAAGGUACC